AAAAACAAAUUUCGCCCUCAAAUCAGGUAGGACUACCCGCUGAACUUAAGCAUAUCAAUAAGCGGAGGAAAAGAAACCAACAGGGAUUGCCUCAGUAACGGCGAGUGAAGCGGCAAAAGCUCAAAUUUGAAAUCUGUCUUGUUUUUUUUUUAGCAAGACCGAGUUGUAAUUUGAAGAUGGCAACUUUGGGAAUGGCCUUUAUCUAUGUUCCUUGGAACAGGACGUCACAGAGGGUGAGAAUCCCGUCUGAUGAGGUGAUCCAUUUCUUUGUAAAGUGCUUUCGAAGAGUCGAGUUGUUUGGGAAUGCAGCUCUAAGUGGGAGGUAAAUUCCUUCUAAAGCUAAAUAUUGGCGAGAGACCGAUAGCGAACAAGUACAGUGAUGGAAAGAUGAAAAGAACUUUGAAAAGAGAGUGAAAAAGUACGUGAAAUUGUUGAAAGGGAAGGAUAUUAGAUCAGACUUGGUGAAUACUGAUUAUUGUUCUCUUGUAGGGCAUGCUACUCGGUAUACACUGGGCCAGCAUCGAUUGGUUCGGUAGGAUAAUAACAUUUGAACGUGGCUUUUCUCCGGAAAAGUGUUAUAGCAUUUGUUGAUACUACCUGGGUCGAUCGAGGACUGCGUCUUUUUAGANCUAGGAUGCUGGCGUAAUGAUCUAAUAUCGCCCGUCUUGAAAACACGGACCAAGGGCGAAUUCCACCAUUGG
rnacentral:rRNA from 1 species